CCUACGGGAGGCAGCAGUGAGGAAUAUUGCGCAAUGGGCGAAAGCCUGACGCAGCGACGCCGCGUGGGGGAUGAAGGUUUUCGGAUUGUAAACCCCUUUUGUGAGGAAAGAGAAGGUGGGUAACCACUUAGACGGUACCUCAAGAAAAAGCCACGGCUAACUUCGUGCCAGCAGCCGCGGUAAU
rnacentral:rRNA from 1 species